UGUGUUGAUGACAUAAUAUGCUUAUACUUCAUAUCACAGUAAAUAAGUGGUAAGAAUAUGCGAACCCAUGCCAUAUAGAAAGAUUUUAAGGGUUUACCAAUUUAAACUGGCAAAAUACAAAAACCACGCUUUUGAGGGCACUAGGGUUUGCCACGUGGCUGGUGGUGGAUCUGAAAAUGAAAGAGCAACUCACGUUUUUUUAUGGAAUGCCAGUAUGUGUUAUAUUAGAGAAAUAGGGGACAACCAACCUAACCCAAAAUAUGGUUGUAAAUUUUAUCACUAUCUAAAUUAUCAUUAAUUAAAGCACCAGUAGUACCGUCCAAUAGAAAAGUGAUACUUGCAUUAUCUUACCCAUACAAGUUAUCUCGACCCUUGUGCAAUGCAAAUAAAGACACUAAUUCAAACAUAAACAUAAAAGAUGUGAAUGUUAUGUAUAUAUAGCAAACAACAUAAAAUUUUCAAUCUAUGGAGGGCCAUGUGAAACGUUUUUUAAACACUCCAUAUGUAAAUACCAUGUACACUCACCUCUAUCAACUUCUUCAAUAGAUCGGACCAAUAUAUCUCAUGCGAGUACCCAUGCUAAGUCAGAUGUUUGCCUAAGUGGACCGAUCAUCUUCUCAUAAAGAAUUCAACCAAUAGAUCUACCUCAAUUGAUUCGGUCAAGAGGGACAACUUUGAAACCAACUUAGACUCUUGUAUUUAGGUACGGUAGCAUCCUUUUCUUGAGGGCUAGUACGGUGGCGUCGUGAUGUUAGCUACAGUAGUCUGCAAUACAUUUUAGUAAGGAUUUGUUCCAUGAGCAUCGACUACUCCUUGAAUACAUUGACUUGGCAUGAGUAAUUGACUUGCCAUAGCACGGGUGUCAUCCAUUGUACACACGGGUGUCAUCCAUUGUACACAAAUUUACUACAUUAUCACCC
rnacentral:lncRNA from 1 species